rnacentral:rRNA from 1 species
GACGAACGCUGGCGGCGUGCCUAAUACAUGCAAGUUGAGCGCUGAAGGUUGGUACUUGUACCAACUGGAUGAGCAGCGAACGGGUGAGUAACGCGUGGGGAAUCUGCCUUUGAGCGGGGGACAACAUUUGGAAACGAAUGCUAAUACCGCAUAAAAACUUUAAACACAAGUUUUAAGUUUGCAAGAUGCAAUUGCAUCACUCAAAGAUGAUCCCGCGUUGUAUUAGCUAGUUGGUUAGGUAAAGGCUCACCAAGGCGAUGAUACAUAGCCGACCUGAUAGGGUGAUCGGCCACAUUGGGACUGAGACACGGCUCAAACUCCUACGGGAGGCAGCAGUAGGGAAUCUUCGGCCAUGGACGAAAGUCUGACCGAACAACGCCGCGUGAGGGAAGAAGGUUUUCGGAUCGUAAAACUCUGUUGGUAGAGAAGAACGUUGGUGAGAGUGGAAAGCUCAUCAAGUGACGGUAACUACCCAGAAAGGGACGGCUAACUACGUG